UGCCUUUGGAAGUAGGGUUAGCUGCUAGCAGCUCUCUCUCCCAACUUGCAUCUUACCCUGAUUACCAUCUCAUUCGUCCCUCCUACUUCACCGAGACUCUGCUGUACCUAUUGCUCUAGCUCACUCUACACUGAUGUAGGAGGUUUGACGUCCCACCGGCCAGCUGUUGCCGUGUUGUUGCAUCGAAGGCCGAUCCCUAAGGAGGUGAUCUACCGUCUAUCCUCCUGCAGUUGUUCCUAUAAUCAAUGGUACUUUCCACCUUCAACCAGCUUGCGUGUGUAGCAAUCCGUAGGUACCUUCAAGCCACCAAAACCAGCUGGAAAUUCUUCUUUACAGGUUCGAACUUUCAGAUCCCUCUACCCAGAGUCCGUUUGUUUGGGGUCGGUAAGAGAGAAACAUUGGUGUCAAGUUCCGGUGGAGAUGCGGUUCAAGGUUUCUGCGAGGGCUUCGGCUGGCGUUGAUUUUGAGUUUGUUGGUAUCCCUUAUCUAUUACGGCUUACAACACUAUCUAUCAUUGGCUGGCUCACUUGUAUUGAUCUCAUUAGUCAUGGUACCGGUCAUGGGUGGAACUGAUACGAAUACUGCUAAUGUAAUUCCUACAAUGCUGUUUCUUUCUGGCAUCACAACCAUACUGCACUCCUACUUUGGUACCCGACUGCCUUUAGUUCAAGGGGGCUCAUUUGUGUAUUUGGAACCAGCAUUAGUUAUUAUAAAUGCUCAAGAAUAUUGUAAUCUUACAUAACAUGUUUGUGAUGGUGAUUUUGACCAAGCAUGUGUAUCUUUUAUUGGGAAUAUACAGUUUUUGUUGCUAGAGGGGGAAUGAAGACCCUCAGACCUGCUUGGCAGCGUGUGUAUAUGACCAGAGCUUCUACAUAAAGAGAUGCUCUUAAAAGUUUUAUAGAAGGGUACCAAGAGGGUGUUCAGCAAGUAAUGAAGAAAGAAGAUUCCAAAACUCAAGGACAUGUCAGUAUACCGAAAAGAGUCAACUUGAACUUGCUUGUAGGAGGCAGUGUCAUACCUUCCAUUUAGACUCAAGCAUGCAACUUCGCAAAAAUUAUUGUCAAUCCCCUCGAAUUAAAGGGUGUUAAUGUACAUUUCACUGAACAGAUAUAGUCGAAUAUUCCAAAAUGGUGUACUUGGGCUACUAAGCAUCUAAUGGUAGUACUGAAUUUUGUUUGUGCAA